GACGUAGGGCGCGAGCGUUGUCCGGAUUUAUUGGGCGUAAAGAGCUCGUAGGCGGCUUGUCGCGUCGACUGUGAAAUCCCGCGGCUCAACCGCGGGUCUGCAGUCGAUACGGGCAGGCUAGAGUUCGGUAGGGGAGACUGGAACUCCUGGUGUAGCGGUGAAAUGCGCAGAUAUCAGGAGGAACACCGAUGGCGAAGGCAGGUCUCUGGGCCGAUACUGACGCUGAGGAGCGAAAGCGUGGGGAGCGAACAGG
rnacentral:rRNA from 1 species